rnacentral:rRNA from 1 species
GACGAACGCUGGCGGCGUGCCUAAUACAUGCAAGUCGAGCGAACCUGAUAAAAGCUUGCUUUUUGAAGGUUAGCGGCGGACGGGUGAGUAACACGUGGGCAACCUGCCUGUAAGACUGGGAUAACUUCGGGAAACCGGAGCUAAUACCGGAUAAUAUAAAGAACCUCCUGGUUCUUUAUUGAAAGAUGGUUUCGGCUAUCACUUACAGAUGGGCCCGCGGCGCAUUAGCUAGUUGGUGAGGUAACGGCUCGCCAAGGCGACGAUGCGUAGCCGACCUGAGAGGGUGAUCGGCCACACUGGGACUGAGACACGGCCCAGACUCCUACGGGAGGCAGCAGUAGGGAAUCUUCCACAAUGGACGAAAGUCUGAUGGAGCAACGCCGCGUGAGCGAUGAAGGCCUUCGGGUCGUAAAGCUCUGUUGUUAGGGAAGAACAAGUACCGGAGUAACUGCCGGUACCUUGACGGUACCUAACCAGAAAGCCACGGCUAACUACGUGCCAGCAGCCGCGGUAA